UUCUCUGCAAAAAUUAAAAUACUAGUUACGUACUUAAAAAUACCCCAAAAACUAAAAAUUAAUGUUGAAAACCUUUUUCGAAACAAUUUUAGGGUUCUGGCAUGACACCAUCGCUGUGCUCCGGCACUGUCUCCGCCACCCACGGCGGCAAUUCACCUAGACUUCGCCAGUUUUGACUAGUGUUACAUGUAUCUUUGUGAAAAAAUACAUUAGGAAGCAUUGAUUAGCCAGAAGAAUCAAAAAACCAAACCUACUGCGGGGUUCUCGGGGUGCGACGGCUCCACCAGUUCUCCUUCGCGGCUGAGGUUUCUUCUUCGGCUAGCCUGCAUAGAAAAGGACGAUGAACACAAUGGUCAAAGAAUCGUGUGAAACAGGAAAGGGAAAGGGAGUCAUCAGAGAGGGUUUUGGGUUUUGGCUGUGGCGGCUCCGCCGAACUUUACCCAUAAUUUUCAGCUCACCCACCAUCCAUUUUGCUCCAAUAUGGCCACAGGGAGUCUCUGAAUUGAAUUCUAAGCAGAGAUGAGAAAAUUUUACCUUUUUUGGUAGUCGGCGGUAGCUCCGAUGCAAUGGCAGCUGGGGUUCGACCUUCUUCUCCAAUGUCUGGUUAUUCUUAUUUGGCGAGGGCUGGUGACUAGAGUUAGGUUCUUCUGCGAAAAGAGGUUUAAAUACUCAUUUCCUCUUCAAUCCAAGCCGUCCGUUUAGGUUGACAUAGGGCAAGGAGGACCAUUCGAUGAUUUUCUGUUUAGGCUAAUAGUGUGAGCGAAUUCGGACCGUCCAUCACGAUCCAUCUCGUCCGUUUGAUCGCGUGUAAAAAAAAUGCAUCUUUAUUAUUCAUGCGCGCGGGAUGAAGUCUGGACCAUCAGAUCACCAGACAUGCGGAUCGCUCGCGUGGCUUCCCACGUGGUGCCGAUGUCGGUCUACCUGCUACGCGACGUGCUCUAUUUCGCUCGGAUUGCUAACUGAGUCGUCCCACGUAGGCGAAUUUUUUAUUUAUGUUAUUUUACUCCCUGUUUUCAAUUUUCUUUAAAAA
rnacentral:lncRNA from 1 species